CUGCUUCUGGUUUUCGCCGUCGCUGUUUUCCCUUGGAGACCAUGCCGCUGAAAUGGGUUUUGCAUUGGCAACCCAAUGCAGGAACAACUGUGAACACCCAAAUCCUCAACGAGGUCUCGCAGUGCGUAGAGAGCAUAAACGGAGUUAAAGAAGGGAGGUGGAAAGCUACUCUAACCUCCUAUAAGCCCAUGGUUCGAGAACAGUCGCUAACUGCGGAAUUCCCUCGAGAUUUCUUCGGGAUUUCUCUGCCGGAGCAGCCAAACAAGUACUAUUUCAUGAUCAGGGGUCAAAGGCUCGUUGUUGAGGCGGAUUCAACAAUUCAGACCAUAAUGGAUAAACUUCAGUCUUACAAAUCGAGGGUGGCGCUUUGUUUUGAGGGGUUUCAGUAUCAACUUGGAGACUUUCAGUUGAGAGUGGGAAAGGUUGUUCCGAGUCAUUCUGAGAACUUGAGAGGAAUUGUUAUGGAGGUUGAGUAUCUUCCCAUAUCUUCAAUGGAGAAAGCCAGGCAAAUCAUGGAAGAAUUUGUUGAUAUAUGGCAAGAGGCCAUCUCAAAAAGAUCAUUACCUGGUCAUUUUAUGCAUAUAGAGCCUAAUUUUUCUGAGUACGGUCUCUUGGAUCAUUAUACUCCACAACAUACGGCUGUUCAAUAUGCUACUGUUGUGGCUCAAAUGAUUGCAACACAGACAGUGCAAGCAACAAGAAAUUAGGAAGCAGUGGACAUACUCUUCCAGUAUGCUUAUUGUAUAACUGACUUGUUUUUUGGAAGUUGAAAGAAUUGAUUGAUCAUGACAUUUAUGUUCAUGUGUUGUUAGAUACUAUUGUCUUCUCCACUUUCUUAAUUUGGCCAUUUAUUUCUUUU
rnacentral:misc_RNA from 1 species